GGGCUGCGCUUCCGUUGCCCCGGCUAAAGGUUCCUGUCUGGGAAGCUGGACGUAUUCUGAGAGACUUUCUCCCUCCUGCUUCACGGGACAGCUGAGCUCUCCGAAUCCCUCCUUUCUUCCCAGCCCCACUUCCCCCUUAGCCCGCCGAGGCACGUUUGCACAGGCGUUUUUCUUGCCCCUUUCUCUCGGAGGGCAGUUUGGUGAAAGGGUCAACGGAACCAGGCAAGGAGAGGAGCCCCAGAAGGUCUUUUCUCGCUCUCGUUUCUUUGGCCGCCCGGCUGUCCGCUGUCUUCGCCGGGCGACUGGCAACAGGAGGCCGUGAAUUUCCCUGAUCGGAGCGCCAGUAGUGCGGUGGUGUUUUUCUUUGGUUUUGUUUCAUUUGCAUGUUCGCACAUGUGAUUUUAUUUUCGUUGCCUGUUUUCCUAUGAACUGAACGCGGAACAGUGACCUCGGGAAAUAUUAAAUGAUCCUCCGCGACCUUCCUUCACCCCGGUGGCUGCGCACCCUGCCCUUUUCAUUUGCCCGCCACGCACUGCCCUGGUGGCUUAACCUUGGAGCCACGGCCACCGGCGGUUCUGCGGGGAUGGUGGACAGUUUCCACUAUCCCAAGGGGGGCUGGUGGCGGAGGACACACAUCCUCAAUCCUGACACCAUUAAUUUUAUGUUGGUCCUGCCAUCGCCACCAGAUAGCCACAUAUGUGCUCCAAUAAGAAUAAAGUCAAAAAAGGAUUUGGCCGCCUGUCGCAGCUAAACUAAUGAUUAUCUCUCGCCAAGAUCACGCUGUCCUCCGCCUUCAGUCACUAGGGCUCCCCGACCUCCACCCACUGACUUAACGUUUUACUCACCUCCAAGACUACACGCAGUUCCACCCACUGCCCACCGCUCUUUUUUUCUUUCUUAACUUCCGCCUCCCAUCCUGUCUUCCAGCGCUCGGUUUAAAGACCUCUUUUCCUCCACCCCUUUUCCUCCACCCCCUUUUCUCGCUCCCUCUCCAUUCCUGUUUGCCUCU
ensembl:lncRNA